rnacentral:rRNA from 1 species
GGCCCUAUGGGGCGCAGCAGGCGAGAAAACUUUGCAAUGUGCGAAAGCACGACAAGGUUAAUCCGAGUGGUUUCUGCUAAAGGAACCUUUUGUCGGUCCUAGAAACACCGAUGAAUAAGGGGUGGGCAAGUUCUGGUGUCAGCCGCCGCGGUAAAACCAGCACCUCAAGUGGUCAGGAUGAUUAUUGGGCCUAAAGCAUCCGUAGCCGGCUCUGUAAGCUUUCGGUUAAAUCUGUACGCUCAACGUACAGGCUGCCGGGAAUACUGCAGAGCUAGGGAGUGGGAGAGGUAGACGGUACUCGGUAGGAAGGGGUAAAAUCCUUUGAUCUAUUGAUGACCACCUGUGGCGAAGGCGGUCUACCAGAACACGUCCGACGGUGAGGGAUGAAAGCUGGGGGAGCAAACCGGAUUAGAUACCCGGGUAGUCCCAGCUGUAAACUAUGCAAACUCAGUGAUGCAUUGACUUGUGGUCAAUGCAGUGCUGCAGGGAAGCCGUUAAGUUUGCCGCCUGGGAAGUACGUACGCAAGUAUGAAACUUAAAGGAAUUGGCGGGGGAGCAC